GUGUCAGCAGCCGCGGUAAUACGGAGGAUGCAAGCGUUAUCCGGAAUGAUUGGGCGUAAAGCGUCCGCAGGUGGCUGUGUAAGUCUGCUGUUAAAGCGUCUGGCUUAACCAGAUACAAGCAGUGGAAACUACACAGCUAGAGUGCGUUCGGGGCAGAGGGAAUUCCUGGUGUAGCGGUGAAAUGCGUAGAUAUCAGGAAGAACACCGGUGGCGAAAGCGCUCUGCUAGGCCGCAACUGAAACUGAGGGACGAAAGCUAGGGGAGCGAAUGGGAUUAGAUACCCCAGUAGUCCUAGCCGUAAACGAUGGAUACUAGGCGUGGCUUGUAUCGACCCGGGCCGUGCCGGAGCUAACGCGUUAAGUCUCCCGCCUGGGGAGUACGCACGCAAGUGUGAAACUUAAAUGAAUUGGCGGGG
rnacentral:rRNA from 1 species